rnacentral:rRNA from 1 species
GCCUACGGGGGCAGCAGUGGGGAAUAUUGGACAAUGGGCGAAAGCCUGAUCCAGCCAUGCCGCGUGUGUGAAGAAGGCCUUCGGGUUGUAAAGCACUUUCAGUGGGGAAGAAAGCCUUGGGGCUAAUACCCUCGAGGAAGGACAUCACCCACAGAAGAAGCACCGGCUAACUCCGUGCCAGCAGCCGCGGUAAUACGGAGGGUGCGAGCGUUAAUCGGAAUUACUGGGCGUAAAGCGCGCGUAGGCGGUCUGAUAAGCCGGUUGUGAAAGCCCCGGGCUCAACCUGGGAACGGCAUCCGGAACUGUCAGGCUAGAGUGCGGGAGAGGAAGGUAGAAUUCCCGGUGUAGCGGUGAAAUGCGUAGAGAUCGGGAGGAAUACCAGUGGCGAAGGCGGCCUUCUGGACUGACACUGACGCUGAGGUGCGAAAGCGUGGGUAGCAAACAGGAUUAGAUACCCGAGUAGUC